rnacentral:pre_miRNA from 1 species
CGAGGACAAAAACACAUACGACGACACACAGGGCGCUAUAGCGCCCUGUGUGUCGUCGUUUGUGUUUUUGUCCUCGU